rnacentral:ncRNA from 2 species
AAAGAAAAGUGAUAUCCGGGUGAAGGGAACCCCGUAAUUCCCGUCUUGACGGGGAAAAUCGGGGACGGACCCGCCGCUGUAAUCGGGGACGAAACUUGCAAUAAACCACUGUCCUUCGACAAGCUCAGGAUGGGAAGGCGCAAGAAGUAGGAAGAUCCGAGAGUCAGAAAACCUGCCUGGAUAUUCUUCACGGA